rnacentral:rRNA from 1 species
CGUGAGUGAUGAAGGUUUUCGGAUCGUAAAGCUCUGUUGCCAGGGAAGAACGCUUGGGAGAGUAACUGCUCUCAAGGUGACGGUACCUGAGAAGAAAGCCCCGGCUAACUACGUGCCAGCAGCCGCGGUAAUACGUAGGGGGCAAGCGUUGUCCGGAAUUAUUGGGCGUAAAGCGCGCGCAGGCGGUCAUGUAAGUCUGGUGUUUAAUCCCGGGGCUCAACCCCGGAUCGCACUGGAAACUGUGUGACUUGAGUGCAGAAGAGGAGAGUGGAAUUCCACGUGUAGCGGUGAAAUGCGUAGAUAUGUGGAGGAACACCAGUGGCGAAGGCGACUCUCUGGGCUGUAACUGACGCUGAGGCGCGAAAGCGUGGGGAGCAAACAGGAUUAGAUACCCUGGUAGUCCACGCCGUAAACGAUGAGUGCUAGGUGUUAGGGGUUUCGAUACCCUUGGUGCCGAAGUUAACAC